rnacentral:rRNA from 1 species
UACGUAGGGGGCAAGCGUUGUCCGGAAUCAUUGGGCGUAAAGCGCACGUAGGCGGCCCGGUAAGUCCGUUGUGAAAGUCAGAGGCUCAACCUCUGGAGGCCAAUGGAUACUGCCGGGCUAGAGUCCGGAAGAGGCGAGUGGAAUUCCGGGUGUAGUGGUGAAAUGCGUAGAGAUCCGGAGGAACACCAGUGGCGAAGGCGACACGCUGGGCCGUACCUGACACUGAUGCGCGACAGCAUGGGGGAGCAAAACAGGG